GAUGAAGAACGUAGCGAAAUGCGAUAAGUAAUGUGAAUUGCAGAAUUCAGUGAAUCAUCGAAUCUUUGAACGCACAUUGCGCCCCCUGGUAUUCCGGGGUCAUGCCUGUCCGAGCGUCAUUACAACCCUCAAGCUCAGCUUGGUGUUGGGCCCCGCCGCCCCGGCGGGCCCUAAAGUCAGUGGCGGUGCCGUCCGGCUCCGAGCGUAGUAAUUCUUCUCGCUCUGGAGGUCCGGUCGUGUGCUCGCCAGCAACCCCCAAUUUUUUUCAGGUUGACCUCGGAUCAGGUAGGGAUACCCGCUGAACUUAAGCAUAUCAAUAAGCGGAGGA
rnacentral:misc_RNA from 1 species